rnacentral:misc_RNA from 1 species
GAUGAAGAACGUAGCGAAAUGCGAUAAGUAAUGUGAAUUGCAGAAUUCAGUGAAUCAUCGAAUCUUUGAACGCACAUUGCGCCUGCCAGUAGUCUGGCGGGCAUGCCUGUCCGAGCGUCAUUUCAACCCUCGAACCCCUCCGGGGGGUCGGCGUUGGGGAUCGGCCCUUUCACCGGGUGCCGUCCCCCAAAUACAGUGGCGGUCUCGCCGCAGCCUCUCAUGCGCAGUAGUUUGCACACUCGCACCGAGAGCGCGGCGCGUCCACGUCCGUAAAACACCCCAAACUUCUGAAAUGUUGACCUCGGAUCAGGUAGGAAUACCCGCUGAACUUAAGCAUAUCAAUAAGCGGAGGA